CACCUGCGGGAGGACAUUA
rnacentral:rRNA from 1 species